ACUCAAAUGAAUUGACGGGGGCCCGCACAAGCAGCGGAGCAUGUGGUUUAAUUCGACGCAACGCGAAGAACCUUACCAGGUCUUGACAUCCAUUUAAAACUUAAGAGAUUAAGUGUGAGCAUGCUCAAAAUGAGACAGGUGGUGCAUGGUUGUCGUCAGCUCGUGUCGUGAGAUGUUGGGUUAAGUCCCGCAACGAGCGCAACCCCUACGGAUAGUUACUAACGGAUAAUGCUGAGGACUUUAUCAGGACUGCCGAGGACAACUCGGAGGAAGGUGGGGACGACGUCAAAUCAUCAUGCCCCUUAUGACCUGGGCUACACACGUGCUACAAUGGCCGUAACAAAGAGUUGCGAAGUCGCAAGGCGGAGCGAAUCUCAAAAAAACGGUCUCAGUUCGGAUUGUGGGCUGCAACCCGCCCACAUGAAGUCGGAGUUGCUAGUAAUCGCGAAUCAGCAUGUCGCGGUGAAUACGUUCCCGGGCCUUGUACACACCGCCCGU
rnacentral:rRNA from 1 species